GUCGGGAUAGCUCAGUUGGAGAGC
rnacentral:tRNA from 3 species